GACGAACGCUGGCGGCGUGCCUAAUACAUGCAAGUCGAACGAGUGGUGGACGGGUGAGUAAUGUCUGGGAAACUGCCCGAUGGAGGGGGGUAACUACUGGACACGGUAGCUAAUACCGCAUCCCCUCGGCUGUGCCCAGGUGGGAUUAGCUAGUGGGUGGGGUAACGGCUCACCUAGGCGACGAUCCCUCUCUGGUCUGAGAGGAUGACCAGCCAAACGGGAACUGAGACACGGUCCAGACUCCUACGGGAGGCAGCAGUGGGAAAUAUUGCACAAUGGGCGAAAGCCUGAGGCAGCCAUGCCGCGUGUAUGAAGAAGGCCUUCGGGUUGUAAAGUACUUUCAGCGAGGAGGCGUUACUCGCAGAAGAAGCACCGGCUAACUCCGUGCCAGCAGCCGCGGUAAUAC
rnacentral:rRNA from 1 species